UGCGGAUAUUAACUUGCUAAUAUUGUCAGCUAAGUGGCGCACGGGUGAGUAAUAUAUAGGUAACGUGCCCUAGAGAAGAGGAUAACAUUUGGAAACGAAUGCUAAUACUCUAUAUGCCUUUAAGACAUAAGUCUGCAAGGGAAAUAUUUAUAGCUCUAGGAUCGGCCUGUACGGUAUCAGCUUGUUGGUGAGGUAAUGGCUCACCAAGGCAAUGACACCUAACUGGUUUGAGAGGAUGAUCAGUCACACUGGAACUGAGACACGGUCCAGACUCCUACGGGAGGCAGCAGUGGGGAAUAUUGCACAAUGGACGAAAGUCUGAUGCAGCAACGCCGCGUGGAGGAGGACACAUUUCGGUGCGUAAACUCCUUUUAUAUAGGAAGAUAAUGACGGUACUAUAUGAAUAAGCGCCGGCUAACUCCGUGCCAGCAGCCGCGGUAAUACGGAGGGCGCAAGCGUUACUCGGAAUCACUGGGCGUAAAGAGCGUGUAGGCGGGUUAAUAAGUCAGAAGUGAAAUCCAAUAGCUCAACUAUUGAACUGCUUUUGAAACUGUUAACCUAGAAUAUGGGAGAGGUAGAUGGAAUUUCUGGUGUAGGGGUAAAAUCCCGUAGAGAUCAGAAUGGAAUACCGAUUGCGAAGGCGAUCUACUGGAACAUUAUUGAC
rnacentral:rRNA from 1 species